CUGUACAUUUUUUUUUUUUUUUGGUCAGUAAUAGCUCCUUUUUAUCGACCCAGAAUAUGAAGAGGUUAUGAAGCAGACAAACAGAAAUUCAGGCAAGCCAGACUUUUGGUUUUGCUUUCUCAUUUUCUUUUGUUUGAUUGUUUUUAAAGGGGAGAGGAUAAUGUAUAGUUACUUGCCUUAUUCAGGCCAUUAAAAGUCAAAUAUUGAGCAUCCAUUAACUUUGAGGGGGUCAGGAAGUGAGAAUAAGUAACACUAAGCUUCUGUGAGAGGCCUGAAGCUCCUAAUCUAGGGUGGGAGGGAGUUAUCCCUGGAGAUUUCUGCUGUACCUAAACAGAAAAUGCUGUGGACAGAGGGUCAGAAACAUGCCUUUUGCCCCUGUGGGGGUUGGAAAGCUUCCUGAUAGAUGCAAGCUGGACCAUGAGGGACGGGCAUGACUUGGAAAGACAGUUUCGGAGGAGGGAGGUGGCCCUCGAGGGAAGAGGGACCGUGUGAGCGAGGGCUGGGAGCAGGGAGGCUGCUGGAACCUCUGAGAAGCUACCAGCAGACGAGCAGACCAACACAGGGGCUGAGUGCAGCUUUGGACAGCCCACCAUGCCCACCUUCUCUGAGUGCCAGUAAGUGCUCCUCUGGGCCCUGGGAUCACAGCAGUGAGCCUGACCAGUGUCCUAAGGGGCAUCAUCAGUUUCAAUGGACUCUGGACCGGAGCCCCCUUGUAGCUGGUGACAGGACCGCCAGGAUGAACCCAGUUCCUUCCUUCCUCACACCUGGCUCAUCUCACCUCUUCCUUGAAUCUUGGUCAAUAAAGGGCAGUAAAAUGUA